rnacentral:tRNA from 1 species
GCGGUCAUGGUGGAAUAGGCAGACACGCCAGCUUGAGGGGCUGGUGAACGCGAGUUCGUGCAGGUUCAAGUCCUGUUGACCGCACCA